rnacentral:rRNA from 1 species
UACGAAAGGUGCAAGCGUUACUCGGAAUCACUGGGCGUAAAGCGCACGUAGGCGGACUCGUAGGUCAAUUUGUGAAAUACCUGGGCUCAACCUGGGAACUGCAGUUGAAACCACUUGUCUUGAAUACCUGAGAGGGUGGGGAAUACCUGGUGGAGAAGUGAAAUUCGUAGAGAUCAGGUGGAACACCGGAGCGAAGGCGCCUGCCUGGCAGUGUAUUGACGCUGAGGUGCGAAAGUGCGGGGAGCAAACAGG